rnacentral:rRNA from 1 species
UGGUGGAGUUAUUUGUCUGGUUAAUUCCGUUAACGAACGAAACCUUAACCUGAUAAAUAGUUACGCAUAACUUCGGUUAUGCUGGCAACUUCUUAGAGGGACUUUGCGUGUCCAACGCAAGAAAGUUGGAGGCAAUAACA